rnacentral:rRNA from 1 species
GACGAACGCUGGCGGCGUGCCUAAUACAUGCAAGUCGAGCGAAUCGAUGGGAGCUUGCUCCCUGAGAUUAGCGGCGGACGGGUGAGUAACACAUGGGUAACCUGCCUGUAAGACUGGAUAACUUCGGGAAACCGGAGCUAAUACCGGAUACUUUCUUUUCUCGCAUGAGGGAAGAUGGAAAGAUGGUUCUGCUAUCACUUACAGAUGGACCCGCGGCGCAUUAGGUAGUUGGUGAGGUAACGGCUCACCAAGGCGACGAUGCGUAGCCGACCUGAGAGGGUGGUCGGCCACACUGGGGAUGAGACACGGCCCAGACUCCUACGGGAGGCAGCAGUAGGGAAUCUUCCGCAAUGGACGAAAGUCUGACGGAGCAACGCCGCGUGAGCGAAGAAGGCCUUCGGGUCGUAAAGCUCUGUUGUUAGGGAAGAACAAGUAUCGGAGUAACUGCCGGUACCUUGACGGUACCUAACCAGAAAGCCACGGCUAACUACGUGCCAGCCGCCGCGGUAA